CAGAGGGACAGACAGAUGCCAGGUUGCAGGCACAGGAUGAGGACGGGGAAGCAGGUCUUGCUGGAGAUGUCUGAUCCCCGCUGGGUGCCAGGAAGGCCAAAGGGAGCUUAUCCAAGAGGUGCUCCUUAGGUUAGGUUGGCCUCAGACAUUUGCUGCUUCCCAACAGUCGGACCGGUUGGCCCCAGAACAUCACAGAGGAAGUGGCCUUGAUGGGGGCCAGGCCGGCGGUUGAGCAGCGGCUGAGGACCCACAAGAAGGGCCCACUGCUGACCUCCGAGACCACCUCUGUACCCACAGUCUUCAAGUGGUGGUGGCGGAAUAACCCUCUUGGGGGUGACCCCAGCAGGACUGGGUGGGCCGCAAGCCCUGCUCCAGGCUCCGUCAUGAUCUCAAGGGCAUCCAGGGAGGCUUUGGACCCAGGACAGCUCCCAGGACCACCCGUCAGGACCUUGGCCAGAGCUCAGCAAGAACCGCAGGUGCCAGGCACGGCAAUGGUGGGGUGUUGCUCCAGCAGACUGCUGGGUUCUAGUGCCUGCUGCUAAGGCAGCCUGACUUGGUUCUGCCCCUGCCGUGGCAAUCCAAGGAGCCUGGCCUGAUUUUUCAGGCAUUUGCUCCAGUGAUGCUGGGGGCCUCUGCCCUGACCAGGAGGUCCUCAGAGGGCUCUUCCGACUCGGCAGACAUAGACAAGGCAGCGCCCGUGGGUUUUGGCAGAGUUGGGGGUCUCCUGGCUCACCUAGUGUGGAGGUCCCAGUGGCGCAGUCUCACCAUAUAUAUGCCUGCUCACUGGUGCCCCCCCCCCGAAGGUUGCCUCCUCUGAACUCCCUGCCCCAUCUCACACCUGGGGUGCUCUGCAGUCUGGAAUCAUGAUUGGGUUCCAAGCUCCAUCUAAAGCGAUUCCUGGAGAUUUCCUUUCCCAUCUCCCCCCAAUCUCCCCCCUCCCCACAAACCAAACCAUUUAAACCCCCAGGAUUGCUUUCCAUGGAUUCCAGGAAAUGGAUGCCGAUUCCUGGAGACUGUGAGCCAUUCCUGGAGGUUGGCAACCCUAAGCCCUGGUACGAGAGGGUCCGUGGGGGGCAGUUUGCCCAGGGCCCCCGGAACCUGGAAUCAGUGGCCAGAGGACCAAAAGGAUUGUGGAGAGCUUUGUGGGUGCCCAUAAGGAGGCUGGAACCCUGGAGCUGUUGCGGAUGGGCCGGUGGCUGCAGUGAGGAGGUGAGGAGCCUGGGAAACGGCAGUAGGAGGCAGGCAGCAAGGACCAGCCUGUAGAGAAGACGGGGCAGAAGAAAAGGGAGCUCACACUGGCCGGCAAGCCCGAGGGGAGGGAAGCAGAGCAGCAGGGAGCAGCUUGUGCCCUGGACUUGUGAAAAGGUCACCAUUGUUGCCGGUCAACAGGCAAAAGCAGGAUUUGUGCAGCCCAGACCGAAGCAUGCCAAGCAGCCUCAAAGGCCAUGAGCUCAACUGUACUGAAUCAGAGUCGUCAUCAUUCCCACCCACCAGUGGUCUUUCAUCUGUGGUUUUUCCUCUGUGUGCAGAAUGAGUUUCAUUCUGGGCGGCAGUAUCAGGGCAGUGUGCGUGCCUGUGCAUUCAGAGGGCGGCCUUCCUGAUUCAACCUCAGAGGGAUCUAAAAUGAACUGAGUGGAUAUCAAAAAACGGUGUGAGCACACGCACACACGCACGCACACCUUAGAGGGAACAGUGCCAUCCACCCCCACUCUCUGCCAAGGACCGUAUAUGUCCCGUGUUGGGGAAAAGAACUGCUGAGCCACAAAAACAGGAGGUUAAGAAGUCUGGAGAAGAGGGAGACUUUCCAUUCAUUCAUUCCAUUUAUAUGCCGCCCGUCCACAACUAACCCAGGGUGGGGCACAGUCAGAACUAAAACCAUUUAAAACAUAAAACUCAUCCAAAAAAAAAAAAAAAUUAAAACCACUUAACUGAUAUUAAAAUCCAGGCUGGAGAUGUGGGUCUUUAGGGCUCUCUUGGAAGCCUCCAGGAAUGAUAAGCCAUGGGUGUGCGUUCUAGGGACGGCUACUGAGAAGACUCGAUUCCAGGUUGCCACCAGGUGAACUAGUGGUGGCACCUGAAGAUGGACCUCUCAGGAGAAGCAAAAGCCAACCAGGGCUAACUGGGGAAGGAGGAGUCUCCGGCCUCAUCCCCUCCCCUCCCCCCCUCCUCCUGGAUUUCCCUGGCUUCAGAUCUCAGAACUACUGGGUGGACUACCAACCGGAUUCCAAAUGGGAGAGCCCUGCAGAACUGGCAAUGCUGUGUGAGAGAGGCACUGUCACUGACAGCUCUCACGUGCUCAAACUGAAGCGGUCCCAUUCUAGGGCCUUUUGGGAGGAAAAUUCAGACCUGCACGAUGGCACGAGAGUGUAAUGUGCACAUGUAGCGCUUGCCACUACAACAGGCACUGGUGCAGUUUCCUUGUCUGUUGUCACAGACUGUGUGGCCAGGAAUCCCAUGCCAUGCCAUUACGAAGAAGCCUCCACAGAGUGGGAGAAAAGCCUCAGGAUGGGGACUCGGACAGCACGAUAUUUGCAGAAGAGUGUUGUGUUCUCCGGUGAAGACGCGAUGGGGCAGGGCAGGGCAGUGGAGUCUGCGGGGAACAUCUUUGGGAGAAGGAGGAGAAACGGGGACGUUGGAUCUGGGUCUGGGUUCUAGAGGAACCUGGACUACUCACUGGACUUUUCUCUCUGUUAACAGUUGAAAUAUGUAGACCCCACCCCCUCCAGUACACUCACCGCUUGGGCGACUAACCAAGUCAGUAAAACCAACACACUAUAACAAUCUAGAACUGAUAAAAUGGAAACUAACUCAAACCAAAUCUCCGUUAGUAGGCUGUUCAGUGAACGUGCAUGGUCAGGCAAGCAGGUGGGGGGAAGGCAGGAUUCAACCUACCUCCCCCCAGAUGACUGCUCUGAUCCCCUGAGGCGCGCAAAACACAAGUCCACACAGCCAGUCCUCCUGGCAGCACAGGGGAACAGAUCCCACAGUGCAUCGUGCAGCAAGCACAAUGCACUGGAGGGUCCCCCCCCCCAUCUCUGUGUCAGCACAAGCUGCAAGCAGCUCACACUGACCCACAAUCCCAGGAGCCGGGUUAAGGGUGCAUUUGUGCCCAUAACCUCGGCUAAGAGCCGGGCUUUGGUGCUGGGUUGAGUUCUUCUCCAGGGCAGCCAACCCCAGGCAUGGCUACUUACAGCUGGGCUUGAAUACUCGUGAGGACAGCUUCAGUCACUGGCUGACACUUCUUACAUAAUUUGAAUGUCGCCUGACUUGAAUUUUUGACCAGCACAAACAUUCUUUUAGAACUGCACUUUAAAAAAGAAAAAUGCACAUUUUGUGUCUGGUGGCACAUUUUUUUAAAAACAUGCUCUGUCCCAUUCACAUUUGAGCUUUCAAAGUUCGGCAUCUGAACCCAACUUUUGACAUUCAUGGCACUGAUGAAUGCAACUUCUGCUGCUGGAAUUCUGACUUCCUUCACUGAAGUUUGAGUUUCUGUCCACCAUAUUCCAUCCUCGCGGCCCAAAGUGGCCUGGCAACAUUUCAGUAUCUCCUUCUGAUGUGAAGAUAGAAACCCACAUAUGGAUUUUUCAUGAUUUCUCAUUCGCACUUUCAGAUUUGCUGUCCCUGCUAUCUUUUGGGGGAAGGUAUUGUGUUAUUUUCUUGCACUGUACAGUAUUGUCUGAAUGGCUCCCUGCGUCGUCUUCGGCGCUCUCUGCUGACUUCAUAUUUCUUUCUGCCUAAAUGAUUUUGCACAGUGUAUGAAAGGUUGAUGUACAAGAGCACAAGGCACAAGAGAUAAAAGGAGCUAAGAUGAUGGAGGAGGAAUGGAAGUCGUGAGAGGGCAGGAGAGAUGCAGAAAACUGGUGAGGAAAUGGAAAAGAAAGACGGAAGGAAGUCGCAAAGAAGAAAACCCAAACAUGAAAUGUCUGAAAGAAGAGUGAAAAAGCAACUGUGCCAAAAUAGAAGAAAGGAAACAAAAACCACGACCAAAGCUUUUGAGAAAGAAGAGAAGGAUGGGGAAAUGAGACUAUACUGCUAAGAUGACAUUCUUCCUCCCAGCAUUUUGGCAAAAAGUCAAAUAUGGAGAGAGAAAUGGAGGAUCUUUAUUGGAUGGCAAGGAAUGUGCCACUCUCAUGGAGUUCUUCUAGUGGAAAUAUGUUUAUUUGGCCUUUCACCCCGAUAUAUGCCUGCUUUGGCAUGCUUGGUAUUUGUCUGUGAAGACUCAUCCACUUGGAACCCAAUGAUGCCCAGAGACAAGGGUUUGGUUGUGUUGUGAGCAAAACUCAGGUAAGUUGACGGGAUGGGGUGAAGGGUUCUGAGUGUCUGCUCCUCUCAUUUCAAAUGAAAGACUGUCUGCUUGGCUGGAGCUAAGCCUGCAGAACAGGAAAUCAACCACCCGUCAGCAUCAAGAUCUCAGCAAUGCCGCUGGUGGGAAGAAAGACACAGCUGAGCUGUUGCCACUCCUGAUUCUCAGGUUAAUGAAAUGUUGAGUCAUCAUCUACAAUAUGGUAUUUUGAAGUCAUAGAUAUUAUGCCCGCAAAUGUGCACAAAAUUGUCAUAUGGAAACACACCAUGAUAUGCAGAGUUUAGCCCCGAAGUGCUUGUUGAUAUUUUGGUAGUUUCCGUAACUUCUGAUGUGACAAUUCUGUAAUGGUAGUAAGUACUUUAGGUGGGUACACAGGUAAGUUUUCCUUGGUCCCACCCUUGGUCCCUUCCAACAGCUGUACCAGAUGCCUCCACAUCUGGCAAGAGCAGAUGUCAAGAAAGUGGCCAGUACCAUUCUGGAAGAAGUUGGGGGUGUCAGAAGAUGGCAGAAGAUGACUCACUAAAAGGUGAGCAAAUGUUUCGUAAUUUCUAGAAACCAUUUUCAACCCCACCCUAUUCUUGCCAGGAGGAUGUGUUUAUAUAAUGUGUUCAAUAAUGUGUUGUUGCAGAAUGCCAGACUCUUCCAGAUAAAUGAGGACCGAUCAUCCUGCAAACCUGAAGGUAUAUACCAACAGUAGAAACAUUAAUUGCAGAGGAAAGAUUGUUGAGUACAUAUUGGCAGGAAUUGACUCCCAAGAACAUGAUCUGCCUUCUUUUGUCUAGGGGAAGGCCACAUGCUCAAGGAAGAAGAGAAGAGGUGAUGCCCACACAGCGGAAGUGUGUCAAGAGGUGAUCAUUUUUGCCUACAAAUUACCAUUGACAGUAAUGAGUAUCAAUGAUCCUUUGUUUGACAGUCACUGGCUAUCUUUUUUUUUUUUUUUUUUGCAAACUGAGCUAUACAGUUGGAACCUGCAAGGAGGUAGAGAGAGCGAGCUGCUGUCACCACCAACCUAAACAGGAACGGGUUGAUCCCAUCACACAAAGGACCACUUCCAAGUACAGGUGAGAAUUCCACAAUUCACUGGUGAGAAUUUCAGCUUCUGCAUUGUUCUCUUUGGGUUGCAAAGCAUGUUCCUCUGUGGUGAUGACUCUUUCAACAGCUUAUCGCCUUCAGGGGUGGUGAAGUCAGAACUGGAAGGAAAAGGCCCUCAACUCCUGUCGAGAUCAAGACGAUGCUUCUGGACCAGAUGGGGCCUUCUUGUCAGGUUUGUCACCUUCAGUGGUGGUGCAGUGAGAACUGAAGGGGCCCAGAGACCAGCGCCUUGGACACCCCAUCAAAACCUAGGAGAACAAAAGCAGGGUCUCAUAUCCAUCUAGCGUGAGUGAGUGGAAGUGUCUGGUCCUUGCUGACAUGCCCAGGGUAGCACUGACCGCCACCUUUGGGGUCGGGAAGGAAUUUUCCUCCAGGGCAGAUUGGCCAAGGUCCUGGAGGUUUUUCGCCUUCCUCUGGGCAUCCAGCAGGGGUCACUUAUUAGGCUAUUUUGGAAUUGAAUAUAAAUGGUAUCAAUAUUUGAAGUUUUGAAAAGCUGAACAGCAAAUAAAAAUAGAAUCCGUAAAAAAGAGAGAAAGAAAAUAAAUAACAGUCAUAAAUUUGAA